rnacentral:lncRNA from 1 species
UGUCGAACACUACAGGAAGGUCAUGAGAAGGAAGACAUGGCACAUAGGCCCCCUUUCUCCCUGCAACCGGAACACACACAAUAAAGCACAACAAGGAAAUGCAGCCUCUAAGGACACAGUUGAAUGCUUAAGAUGGCUAGACUCAAAGAAACACAAUUCAGUUCUCUAUAUAUGUUUUGGAAGCAUGUCCUGGUUUUCAGCUGCUCAGCUUUAUGAGAUUGCUAAGGGACUUGAAACUUCUGGACAGGAUUUCAUUUGGAUUGUAAGGAAGGUGAAAAACAAAGGCAAAGAGGAGUGGUUGCCAGAAGGAUUUGAAGAACAGAUGGAAGGGAUGAUUUUGAUUAUAAGGGGAUGAACACCUCAAGCGCUGAUUCUUGAUCAUGAAGCUGUAGGAGGGUUUGUGACUCACUGUGGAGGGAAUUCGACACUGGAGAGUAUCACUGCUGGAGUACCAAUGGUCACAUGGCCACUCAGUAAUGAGCAGUUCUAUAAUGAAAGGCUUGUUACAGAUAUACUAAGAAUAGGGGUUGGAGUUGGAGCCCAAGAAUGGUCUAGAUUGAUGGAAGAUAAGAAAGUACUUAGUGACAAAUGAAAAUAUAAAAAAGGCAGUGACUCAGCUGAUGGUUGGUGAAGAAGCCAAUGAAAUAAGAAACAGAGCUAGUGCACUGAAAGAGAUGGCAAAGAGGGCUGUUGAAGAGGGUGGAUCAUCUCACUCUGAUUUGAGGGCUUUAUUAGAUGAAUUGAGAUUGAAGAGACCUCAAGGAGAGCAAUGAGAGAUCUAUUAAAGGACUAAAGACAACAAUAAGUUCAUGCAUAAAGCUGUAGAUCUUGUAUCAAAAUAAAUAUUGAUAAAAAGUUCUGUAAACCUUGUUGUCUUCUCUCUUUCUUUUUAGUUUUCCUCUCUUUGUUUUUCCUUGCUGAGCAAAGUUAAGAAACUUUUAAUAUUUUGUUGUUCCAAGAGAUUCCCUUCCUGUAAGACUAUCCCCUCUUAGUUUUGGUUCUGACUUAAAAUAACGAAUGUACAAGAGAAUAGACAAUUGAAUCGCCAAAAAACCAAAACCAAGGAAAUAUAUUUUAACAAUACAAGACUUACAGGACAUUGCUCUAUUAGCUCAAGUAACCUUAAUCAUACCUAUUAACAUCUGAGGGAAAAAUGUUCAAGUCAGUCACCUUCCUUGCAAGUAAAACCUGCAUAAGUCAGUAAUAUAAAAUGUUAAUCUAGCCUUCAAAAAAAUAUAAAAGUUAAUAUAGGUCAACCAAGAUAAAUUCCCUAGUUCAGAAAGGAAAAAAUAAAUAAAUAAAAUUGUAUGAGGACACCAUUUGAGAAAUAAACAUUGCAGUUUCAGCAUUAAGCACUCAAUGAUCAUCACUUCAAAUGUGAAACCAUAACUCCAGACUAUAGAAAUACACCCACAUUCUUCAAGAUAGUUGAUAAAUGGAGACCCACACCCAGUAAGCAUGCUGAAGAAAAUGCCAAUUGUUAACAAAUACGAGUUCACCACACUCAAAACAUUGAUUUCUUGAAGAGGACAUUGCCCUUUUAAGCUAAAAGAACUAUACAAUUUUAAAUCAUAUUUAUUAACAUCCAAGGGAGAAGUGGUGACAAGAUAGCAACCUUGACAGGCCACCCAAGCUAAACCUGCUAAGUCAGUAAUAGAAAAGGUUAAUAUAGGUUGACAAGGUGAUUUCUCUAUUUCAGAAAGUACAUGUGUUUGCGAGAGGGAAAAAAACAUUUUAGUUUACAGAUGCCUUUUCCCUAGGCUAAUAUUCAAUACUCUUAAAAGACAUGGCUUAAAUCUUUAGGGUUUCCUCAGCCCAACAUCUCAGGAACCUGUGAAAGUUGCAAGUGUAAUGCUUGUCGAGCAAAAGUAAGGGGUGCUCAUGCAGAGGAAAUUGGAAACAAAGCAACAGCAUUUGAACUUCUUAAUCAGUUUUUCAAUCUGAUUUCCAUCACACUUCUGAAAAUAAUUUUCAGUGAUAGGUCUUCUAAAUCUUUAUUGCAUAGAGUAAACCAUCCAAAACAUAUACCUACCGCCAGACAUUGCAGCAAUUUAAUUUUCUAUUCAAAGCAAAGUGUGUAUGAUAAACUACUUAAUCACCAAAAGAUUACUCCAAAUCUGGACUUACAACAUAAUAGUAAAGGUGAAAAUUCAGCAACCCAUCACACUAACAAAAUUGUAAAGUGAAACUUCAUAAAAAACAUGUUAGCUUCUUUGUUGUAGUGUCAGCUUUCUUUCUUGUUGCUUCCCUGUUGUACGCUAUAGCAUGUUUAUCCAGCUUCUUUGGAUUAUAAAAUCACAUUUAUUAAAAAAAAAAAAAAGCAAAGUGAAAUUCAACAGAACAAACUCAAUAUCCUUCAGCACUGAUACGCACCAUAUCCAGCUUAACUAAGGCCAGCUGGAGUUAUUAUAUCACCCAAAAUUCUUUAAAUUUGUCUGAAAAGUAAUUAAAUAACUAGAUACGUGUAAAGAAAAAAAAAGUACAAACAGUGACAAUGAUAGAAACAAGAAGGGGUCUAGGCUUCUUAAAUCUUGCAAGCAUACCAUCUUUAUAGAACCUGGAACAUCCCAAGACUUGCACACAUUGUUGUCCAAGGCUAGCUUAUUAAGGGUGUAGCCAAACUGCAGGUUACUAUUAUAUCAAAGGGUAGUUGACUAGGCACUCUUCUAUAAAUGAUUACUGAAAUUACAGUGAUACUGAAGAUUUUGUUGGCAAGCCUCUCAGGAAAUUUUGCCUCUCCUCCAAUGAGUGCUUCAUAUUCAAUAUUUUCAUGAGACUCAACUUGCAUCAUAACUUAACCAGGACAGAGAGUUAAAUUAGAAACACAAACAAGAAGAAUCCCAAAUGAAACCUUCAUCAGAAAAUAGGCACGAAUAGAUGUAAUUGACAUGCUAUAGAGCAAAUUGAAGAUAACAGCAAAUACUAAAGACUAUGUAAAAAAUUGUCCAGCCCAGGUUUUCCUGUUCCCAUAAGACUUAGCCUUUUCAGCUUGGUAUCAGCUGUAGAAAAUUAGUUUUAUUGUGCCAACUAGCAAGCUUUCUGACGUACAAAUAUAAAGCAGAUCUGCACAAUAAACUGAUCAGACAGUGAGCACACAUUAAUACAUGUUUGUUUACGGAGGAAAAGGUUACACGUAUCGUAAAUUAAGCUUCCCAAUAAAUAAACUAGAUUAAACCAAACCUGUUGUAGCAAUUCCCUACUGAAAAAUGAGACCAAGCAGCACAGCAACCCUGACAAAAGCAUAAAGAACUCCAAAGCACGCAUCCUAUAGAAGUCAUGGAUGUAAAUUUUAGUUUCCAGUCAAAUCACAAAAAGGAACACCAACAAUAACCUCAGUGAUCAUUAAAGUAGCAAUAACCUAAAGGCAACAUUCAGCAAACAACUAGAGUUAAGUAAAAGGGAUCAUAUAGGAUGAGUAAGUCUGCUUAUCAAAUGGGUUAGAACAAUGUCUCAAGUCUCAACACUGAUAAAUUUAAUACAGCUUUCAAAAAUUUUAAAAUUCUAGGAAGAGGACAUUGCAAAGUAAGCAAGUAAAUUGAAAAGAAAACACCAGUUAUACCUAUAGAUAUCAAGCCAAAAUAGCAACAAUUCUCCCCAAAUUCUUAGGACAGAAAAGCAUCGUGUUUAAGCUAACAACUACAUCAAAAUUGAGCAAAAACUAGGCUUAAAUAUCUAAGUUAUAAUCGAAGAUGAAUGACAAAUCAGUAAGACUAAAACACAUGAUAGGCAAUUGCUAAAACACAUGAUAGGCUUAAUCCAGUCUCUCUAUUAAAAUUAAAGACCAAAACUUAAAAAAGGCUCUGCAGUACGCUUAAUAGACCAACCAACAUCCCCAGCGUAUGACUAUGAUAUUUUGAUAAAACCGAGCCUCUAAGAAUUUAGAAUCCGGCAGCCACAUGCAAUUAAAUCACAGAUAAAAUAGUUAGGCAAUGCCAAACUUACUAAGGAACGGAUGCAUGCAAAAUAAUUGCGACAUUAACCUUGUAAGUCUCAGUGUAAUGCAAAUUAUGCUUCAAUUUCGAAGCUACAUAGAAUGAAAACCUAGCAGCAUCAUUAAUUAUUCUUUCCAAGAAUUUUUUGGAAAUAGAAAUUCACAAAAUCAUAAUGUUUCCCCCAGGAAUUUUGAACAACAAACCAAGAAACAUAUGGUAUUAUGAAGAAAAACACAGAAAAUCUCGACUGAUCAUAAAGAGAAAUUACCAAAAGAUUAUUUCCAGAAGAAAGUUGAUUGAAGAAAAAAAUCAAAAUUUCAAGUAAGGACUGAAAGAAAUUUAUUAAAUUAAAUUAAAUGGAACUCUGAAAUUCACAGCAACAGAAACAAAACAAGAACUAAAAAAGGAAACUUGAGUGAGAUUAUAAUAAGAGAAGAAGAAAAACUGAUUUAUAACGCUACGAUGAAGGAAAAAAAAAGAGAGGAAAAAGGAGUUUACUUACCACUGAACAGAAAGCUGAGGAAAAUUUCAGCAAAGUUAAGAAACUUCCAAUGCUUUAUCUUUCCAAAAGAUUUACUGUGAAAACUCCUCCCUUUUAUUUUCAUUCGUUAACCAACUUAAAAGAACGAAUGUGCAAGAGAAUGGACAUUUAAAUCAGCAAAAAACCAAACAGAGGGACAUCGAUCCCCCAAAACAACCAACCAAAGAACAUAUGCUUUAUGAAGAAAUACCCAGAAAAUCUUGACUGAUCAUGACAAGAGAAAUUAUCAAAAGAUUAUUUCUAUAAAGUUUAUUGAAACCAAUAAAAAAAUAGGGAUUUCAAGUAAAGACUGAAACAAAUAAAUUAAAGAAAAAAAGAAAGAUAAAGCAAUCAAAGAUUACAAUUAUAAAUCAUACUU